rnacentral:rRNA from 1 species
GGGUUGUGAGGUUAAGCGACUAAGCGUACACGGUGGAUGCCCUGGCAGUCAGAGGCGAUGAAGGACGUGCUAAUCUGCGAUAAGCGUCGGUAAGGUGAUAUGAACCGUUAUAACCGGCGAUUUCCGAAUGGGGAAACCCAGUGUGUUUCGACACACUAUCAUUAACUGAAUCCAUAGGUUAAUGAGGCGAACCGGGGGAACUGAAACAUCUAAGUACCCCGAGGAAAAGAAAUCAACCGAGAUUCCCCCAGUAGCGGCGAGCGAACGGGGAGCAGCCCAGAGCCUGAAUCAGUAUGUGUGUUAGUGGAAGCGUCUGGAAAGGCGCGCGAUACAGGGUGACAGCCCCGUACACAAAAAUGCACAUGCUGUGAGCUCGAUGAGUAGGGCGGGACACGUGGUAUCCUGUCUGAAUAUGGGGGGACCAUCCUCCAAGGCUAAAUACUCCUGACUGACCGAUAGUGAACCAGUACCGUGAGGGAAAGGCGAAAAGAACCCCGGCGAGGGGAGUGAAAAAGAACCUGAAACCGUGUACGUACAAGCAGUGGGAGCACGCUUAGGCGUGUGACUGCGUACCUUUUGUAUAAUGGGUCAGCGACUUAUAUUCUGUAGCAAGGUUAACCGAAUAGGGGAGCCGAAGGGAAACCGAGUCUUAACUGGGCGUUAAGUUGCAGGGUAUAGACCCGAAACCCGGUGAUCUAGCCAUGGGCAGGUUGAAGGUUGGGUAACACUAACUGGAGGACCGAACCGACUAAUGUUGAAAAAUUAGCGGAUGACUUGUGGCUGGGGGUGAAAGGCCAAUCAAACCGGGAGAUAGCUGGUUCUCCCCGAAAGCUAUUUAGGUAGCGCCUCGUGAAUUCAUCUCCGGGGGUAGAGCACUGUUUCGGCAAGGGGGUCAUCCCGACUUACCAACCCGAUGCAAACUGCGAAUACCGGAGAAUGUUAUCACGGGAGACACACGGCGGGUGCUAACGUCCGUCGUGAAGAGGGAAACAACCCAGACCGCCAGCUAAGGUCCCAAAGUCAUGGUUAAGUGGGAAACGAUGUGGGAAGGCCCAGACAGCCAGGAUGUUGGCUUAGAAGCAGCCAUCAUUUAAAGAAAGCGUAAUAGCUCACUGGUCGAGUCGGCCUGCGCGGAAGAUGUAACGGGGCUAAACCAUGCACCGAAGCUGCGGCAGCGACACUAUGUGUUGUUGGGUAGGGGAGCGUUCUGUAAGCCUGUGAAGGUGUGCUGUGAGGUAUGCUGGAGGUAUCAGAAGUGCGAAUGCUGACAUAAGUAACGAUAAAGCGGGUGAAAAGCCCGCUCGCCGGAAGACCAAGGGUUCCUGUCCAACGUUAAUCGGGGCAGGGUGAGUCGACCCCUAAGGCGAGGCCGAAAGGCGUAGUCGAUGGGAAACAGGUUAAUAUUCCUGUACUUGGUGUUACUGCGAAGGGGGGACGGAGAAGGCUAUGUUGGCCGGGCGACGGUUGUCCCGGUUUAAGCGUGUAGGCUGGUUUUCCAGGCAAAUCCGGAAAAUCAAGGCUGAGGCGUGAUGACGAGGCACUACGGUGCUGAAGCAACAAAUGCCCUGCUUCCAGGAAAAGCCUCUAAGCAUCAGGUAACAUCAAAUCGUACCCCAAACCGACACAGGUGGUCAGGUAGAGAAUACCAAGGCGCUUGAGAGAACUCGGGUGAAGGAACUAGGCAAAAUGGUGCCGUAACUUCGGGAGAAGGCACGCUGAUAUGUAGGUGAAGUCCCUUGCGGAUGGAGCUGAAAUCAGUCGAAGAUACCAGCUGGCUGCAACUGUUUAUUAAAAACACAGCACUGUGCAAACACGAAAGUGGACGUAUACGGUGUGACGCCUGCCCGGUGCCGGAAGGUUAAUUGAUGGGGUCAGCGCAAGCGAAGCUCUUGAUCGAAGCCCCGGUAAACGGCGGCCGUAACUAUAACGGUCCUAAGGUAGCGAAAUUCCUUGUCGGGUAAGUUCCGACCUGCACGAAUGGCGUAAUGAUGGCCAGGCUGUCUCCACCCGAGACUCAGUGAAAUUGAACUCGCUGUGAAGAUGCAGUGUACCCGCGGCAAGACGGAAAGACCCCGUGAACCUUUACUAUAGCUUGACACUGAACAUUGAGCCUUGAUGUGUAGGAUAGGUGGGAGGCUUUGAAGUGUGGACGCCAGUCUGCAUGGAGCCGACCUUGAAAUACCACCCUUUAAUGUUUGAUGUUCUAACGUUGACCCGUAAUCCGGGUUGCGGACAGUGUCUGGUGGGUAGUUUGACUGGGGCGGUCUCCUCCUAAAGAGUAACGGAGGAGCACGAAGGUUGGCUAAUCCUGGUCGGACAUCAGGAGGUUAGUGCAAUGGCAUAAGCCAGCUUGACUGCGAGCGUGACGGCGCGAGCAGGUGCGAAAGCAGGUCAUAGUGAUCCGGUGGUUCUGAAUGGAAGGGCCAUCGCUCAACGGAUAAAAGGUACUCCGGGGAUAACAGGCUGAUACCGCCCAAGAGUUCAUAUCGACGGCGGUGUUUGGCACCUCGAUGUCGGCUCAUCACAUCCUGGGGCUGAAGUAGGUCCCAAGGGUAUGGCUGUUCGCCAUUUAAAGUGGUACGCGAGCUGGGUUUAGAACGUCGUGAGACAGUUCGGUCCCUAUCUGCCGUGGGCGCUGGAGAACUGAGGGGGGCUGCUCCUAGUACGAGAGGACCGGAGUGGACGCAUCACUGGUGUUCGGGUUGUCAUGCCAAUGGCACUGCCCGGUAGCUAAAUGCGGAAGAGAUAAGUGCUGAAAGCAUCUAAGCACGAAACUUGCCCCGAGAUGAGUUCUCCCUGACCCUUUAAGGGUCCUGAAGGAACGUUGAAGACGACGACGUUGAUAGGCCGGGUGUGUAAGCGCAGCGAUGCGUUGAGCUAACCGGUACUAAUGAACCGUGAGGCUUAACCUUACAACGCCGAAGGUGUUU